UAUUCAGUUUCCUCCUCUUGCCUCCUCAAAAAUCCCCAACCCCGAAACGCAAAGCAAAAAGAACUCUUUCCAGGGAGACCUCUUCUCGCGCAAGUGAGUGAUCAGUGAUUUUUCUUGUUUGGGAUCCUAGAAAGUUGCAUUCUUUAUAGAUUUUUCUCUUUCGGAAGAAGGGAAACAAAAAGUUUUUCUCUUUUCAGUCACCAAUGGAGUUCUGCCCGACUUGUGGGAACAUGCUGCAAUUCGAGCUGCCCCAUAUGGGACGCGCUGCUAGAUUCUACUGCCCGACCUGCCCUUACGUAUGCUACUUAGAGAACAGGGUUAAGAUAAAGAGAAAGCAGCACUUGGUCAAGAAAGAUAUUGAACCUAUUUUCUCCCAAGAUGAUUUGAAGAAUGCCCCCAAAGCUGAAGUAUCUUGUCCGAAAUGUGGUCAUGGAAUGGCUGCGUACAAGACAAUGCAAACUCGAUCUGCUGAUGAGCCAGAGACAAUACUUUACGCUUGCUUGGGUGAUUACUGCAGGAAUACUUGGCGUGAAUAAGGCUCUCUUCAUGCCAAUAUGAUUUCAUUUACGAAGGAUUGAUUUUUUGUUUCUUCUUGCCAUGCCUCCAUUGGGUCCUUACACCCACGGAAUGAAUGGCUCUUAUACACGAGUAUGUCACUCUGGCUGCAUCAUGGACUGACGACUGACCCUACAGACCAACACGAUUUCCAGCAUGCUUUGUAAUAACCAAAAAUAUUUUGUUAUUAUUUUCUACUAUGUUAUAUGUAUAUUUAUUUUAUUAUUAUCAUUAGUUAACUCGAUGUGGAAAUAGUUGAUUGCUUAGAA